UAAGGAUCUAUACGCUGAUAAUAAACAUGUCGCUCUGUAUAAUAAUGAUAAUAUUAUUAUUAUACAGAGCGACAUGUUUAUUAUCAGCGUAUAGA